CGCGCAGGCGGUCUUGUCAGUCAGGUGUGAAAGCCCGGGGCUCAACCCUGGAAGUGCACUUGAAACAGCAAGACUUGAAUACGGGAGAGGAGAGAGGAAUUCCUGGUGUAGAGGUGAAAUUCGUAGAUAUCAGGAGGAACACCGAUGGCGAAGGCAUCUCUCUGGACUGAUAUUGACGCUGAGGCGCGAAGGCGUGGGUAGCGAACG
rnacentral:rRNA from 1 species